rnacentral:rRNA from 1 species
UACGAAGGGGGCUAGCGUUGCUCGGAUUGACUGGGCGUAAAGGGCGCGUAGGCGGUUUGCAUAGUCAGACGUGAAAUUCCUGGGCUUAACCUGGGGGCUGCGUUUGAUACAUGCAGGCUUGAGUUCGGAAGAGGGUCGUGGAAUUCCCAGUGUAGAGGUGAAAUUCGUAGAUAUUGGGAAGAACACCGGUGGCGAAGGCGGCGACCUGGUCCUUGACUGACGCUGAGGCGCGAAAGCGUGGGGAGCAAACAGG